rnacentral:rRNA from 1 species
UACGGGGGGGGCAAGCGUUGUUCGGAAUUACUGGGCGUAAAGGGCUCGUAGGUGGCCAACUAAGUCAGACGUGAAAUCCCUCGGCUUAACCGGGGAACUGCGUCUGAUACUGGAUGGCUUGAGUUUGGGAGAGGGAUGCGGAAUUCCAGGUGUAGCGGUGAAAUGCGUAGACAUCUGGAGGAACACCGGUGGCGAAGGCGGCAUCCUGGACCAACACUGACACUGAGGAGCGAAAGCCAGGGGAGCAAACGGG